UACGUAGGGUGCAAGCGUUAAUCGGAAUUACUGGGCGUAAAGCGUGCGCAGGCGGUUAUUUAAGUCAGAUGUGAAAGCCCCGGGCUUAACCUGGGAACUGCGUUUGAAACUGGAUAGCUAGAGUCUGUCAGAGGGGGGUAGAAUUCCACGUGUGAGCAGUGAAAUGCGUAGAGAUGUGGAGGAAUACCGAUGGCGAAGGCAGCCCCCUGGGAUAAGACUGACGCUCAUGCACGAAAGGCGUGGGGAGCAA
rnacentral:rRNA from 1 species